rnacentral:misc_RNA from 1 species
AAGUCGUAACAAGGUCUCCGUUGGUGAACCAGCGGAGGGAUCAUUACCGAGUUCUCGCAACUCCCAAAACCCCCUGUGAACAUACCUACGUUGCCUCGGCGCGGGUCUGGCGCGAGCCUCUCCCCGCCGGCGGCCCAUCCAAACUCUGUCUCUCUUGCCUGAGCUCUGAACUAUACAAAACAGAAUACGUUAAAACUUUCAACAACGGAUCUCUUGGUUCUG